rnacentral:misc_RNA from 1 species
GAUGAGAACGUAGCGAAAUGCGAUAAGUAAUGUGAAUUGCAGAAUUCAGUGAAUCAUCGAAUCUUUGAACGCACAUUGCGCCCGCCAGUAUUCUGGCGGGCAUGCCUGUUCGAGCGUCAUUUCAACCAUCAAGCCCCCGGCUUGUGUUGGGGACCUGCGGCUGCCGCAGGCCCUGAAAACCAGUGGCGGGCUCGCUAGUCACUCCGAGCGUAGUAAUACAUCUCGCUCAGGGCGUGCUGCGGGUUCCGGCCGUUAAAAGCCUUAUUUUACCCAAGGUUGACCUCGGAUCAGGUAGGAAGACCCGCUGAACUUAAGCAUAUCAAUAAGCGGAGGA